rnacentral:rRNA from 1 species
AACGAACGCUGGCGGCGCGUCUUAAACAUGCAAGUCGAACGAUCUGUAGCAAUACAGGGAGUGGCGGACGGGUGAGGAACACGUAGGAAUCUACCUAGAAGAGCGGGACAACUUUGGGAAACCGGGCUAAUACCGCAUAGUACAGAGAUGUUAAAGGGCUAGCAAUAGUCGCUUCUGGAUGAGCCUGCGGUCUAUCAGCUUGUUGGUGAGGUAAUGGCUCACCAAGGCUACGACGGAUAGCCGGUCUGAGAGGAUGAUCGGCCACACUGGCACUGAGACACGGGCCAGACUCCUACGGGAGGCAGCAGUUAAGAAUCUUGCGCAAAUGGGGGAAACCCGUGACGCAGCGACGCCGCGUGAAGGAUGAAGGC